AUGGAUGAAGAUAUGCACUGGGCUCCGAGCAGCGAACAUGUCUGCGUUCUGAUGGAGAUGCGUUUGCCUAGAAAGCAUUGUCUGACAU
rnacentral:snoRNA from 1 species